GUGAAUCAUCAAAUUUUUGAACGCAUAUUGCACUCUCUGGUAUUCCGGGGAGUAUGCCUAUUUGAGGGUCAUUUGAAAUAAUAUGAAUUUCGAUAGUUUCUUGAAGUCAAAAAUGGGUCGGUCCAGCUUUCUUGUGGUUGUCGCCUAGAAUGCAAGACAAUCUCAUUUCUUGGUUUGCGUGAUACUUUGAGUUAACGCGUGACUUCACAAGAAAUCUUCGUGCGGGUUAGGAAUUAUGCAAGAGAUAGGCGUC
rnacentral:misc_RNA from 1 species